UGCAUGGAUCGCCGGAAAUCUGAGUGAAGAGAAAAAGAAGCGUUGAGAAGCCAAGGCAGUUGCUAAAUCAGCAGCUACUUCAGGUUCUGGUUCAUAGAGAGAGUUGAAGUUCUUCAUGAAGGGUGGUGAAGUUGGACAUGGAAGCAGGUUAUUAUUAUUAUUAUAAUCAUCAUGUGAUGAAGAUGCAACAGUGACACUGUGGUUUGUUGUUGAUUUUGAGAAACAUAGUUUCAAGUUCCUCAGAUUUAUUGUGCUUCCCAUUUUUUGUGUUUGCACUUUGAUGUGAAGUGCUAACAAAGUGAACAUGACAAGAUAUAUCCUCUUGCUUUAUUAUAAAGUCAUACUUUAGGGCCCUUUUGCUU